GAUGAACGCUGGCGGCGUGCUUAACACAUGCAAGUCGAACGGAAAGGCCCAAGCUUGCUUGGGUACUCGAGUGGCGAACGGGUGAGUAACACGUGGGUGAUCUGCCCUGCACUUCGGGAUAAGCCUGGGAAACUGGGUCUAAUACCGGAUAGGACCACUUCUUGGAUGUUGUGGUGGAAAGUUUUUUCGGUGUGGGAUGAGCUCGCGGCCUAUCAGCUUGUUGGUGGGGUAAUGGCCUACCAAGGCGUCGACGGGUAGCCGGCCUGAGAGGGUGUACGGCCACAUUGGGACUGAGAUACGGCCCAGACGCCUACGGGAGGCAGCAGUGGGGAAUAUUGCACAAGGGGCGCAAGCCUGAUGCAGCGACGCCGCGUGGGGGAUGACGGCCUUCGGGUUGUAAACUCCUUUCGCUAGGGACGAAGCGUUUUGUGACGGUACCUGGAGAAGAAGCACCGGCUAACUACGUG
rnacentral:rRNA from 1 species